rnacentral:rRNA from 1 species
GACGAACGCUGGCGGCGCGCCUAACACAUGCAAGUCGAACGAGCGAGAGAGAGCUUGCUUUCUCAAGCGAGUGGCGAACGGGUGAGUAACGCGUGAGGAACCUGCCUCAAAGAGGGGGACAACAGUUGGAAACGACUGCUAAUACCGCAUAAGCCCACAGGUCGGCAUCGACCAGAGGGAAAAGGAGCAAUCCGCUUUGAGAUGGCCUCGCGUCCGAUUAGCUAGUUGGUGAGGUAACGGCCCACCAAGGCGACGAUCGGUAGCCGGACUGAGAGGUUGAACGGCCACAUUGGGACUGAGACCCGGCCCAGACUCCUACGGGAGGCAGCAGUGGGGAAUAUUGCACAAUGGGGGAAACCCUGAUGCAGCGACGCCGCGUGGAGGAAGAAGGUCUUCGGAUUGUAAACUCCUGUUGUUGAGGAAGAUAAUGACGGUACUCAACANGGAAGUGNCGGCUNNCUNCGUGCCCGCAGCCGCGGUNNNNCGUNGGUCNCCNGCGUUGUCCGGNNUUNCUGGGUGUNNNGGGNGCGCCGGCGGGNNGNCCNGUUGGNNGUGNNNUCUNUGGGCUCNNCCCCUNNNCUGCUUUCNNNNCUGUUUUUCUUGAGUAGGGCCGAGGGUAGGGGGAAUUCCCCGGUGUNGCGGGUGGAAUGCGUAGAUAUCGGGAGGAACACCAGUGGCGAAGGCGGCCUACUGGGCCCCCNCUGACGCUGGGGCUGGAAAGUGUGGGUAGCAAACAGGAUUAGAUACCCUGGUAGUCCACACCGUAAACGAUGAUUACUAGGUGUUGGAGGAUUGACCCCUUCAGUGCCGCAGUUAACACAAUAAGUAAUCCACCUGGGGAGUACGACCGCAAGGUUGAAACUCAAAGGAAUUGACGGGGGCCCGCACAAGCAGUGGAGUAUGUGGUUUAAUUCGACGCAACGCGAAGAACCUUACCAAGUCUUGACAUCCUGCGACGAUGCUGGAAACAGUAUUUUCCUUCGGGACGCAGAGACAGGUGGUGCAUGGUUGUCGUCAGCUCGUGUCGUGAGAUGUUGGGUUAAGUCCCGCAACGAGCGCAACCCUUACUGUCAGUUACUACGCAAGAGGACUCUGGCAGGACUGCCGUUGACAAAACGGAGGAAGGUGGGGAUGACGUCAAAUCAUCAUGCCCUUUAUGACUUGGGCUACACACGUACUACAAUGGCGUUAAACAAAGAGAAGCAAGACCGCGAGGUGGAGCAAAACUCAGAAACAACGUCCCAGUUCGGACUGCAGGCUGCAACUCGCCUGCACGAAGUCGGAAUUGCUAGUAAUCGUGGAUCAGCAUGCCACGGUGAAUACGUUCCCGGGCCUUGCACU